GUUGGCCUCGGAUCAGGUGGGGAUACCCGCUGAACUUAAGCAUAUCAAUAAGCGGAGGAAAAGAAACCAACAGGGAUUGCCUCAGUAACGGCGAGUGAAGCGGCAACAGCUCAAAUUUGAAAUCUGGCGCAAGCCCGAGUUGUAAUUUGCAGAGGAUGUUUCGGGUGAAGCCACGGUCCAAGUCCCUUGGAACAGGACGUCAUAGAGGGUGAGAACCCCGUACCUGGCCGUCGGUGCCCCCCGCUGUGAAACUCCUUCGACGAGUCGAGUUGUUUGGGAAUGCAGCUCUAAAUUGGUGGUAAAUUCCAUCUAAAGCUAAAUACCGGCCAGAGACCGAUAGCGCACAAGUAGAGUGAUCGAAAGAUGAAAAGCACUUUGAAAAGAGAGUUAAAAAGUACGUGAAAUUGUUGAAAGGGAAGCGCUUGCGGCCAGACUUGCCCGCGGUUGCUCAGCCCGCCUUUUGGCGGGUGCACUCUUCCGCGGUCAGGCCAGCAUCGGUUUGGGCGGUCGGAUAAAGGCGUUGGGAACGUGGCCUCCCCUCGGGGAGGUGUUAUAGCCCGGCGCGCAAUGCGACCAGCCCGGACCGAGGUUCGCGCUUUGCUAGGAUGCUGGCGUAAUGGCCGUAAGCGGCCCGUCUUGAAACACGGACCAAGGAGUCUAACAUCUAUGCGAGUGUUUGGGUGUCAAACCCGUGCGCGUAAUGAAAGUGAACGGAGGUGGGAACCGCAAGGUGCACCAUCGACCGAUCCUGAUGUCUUCGGAAGGAUUUGAGUAAGAGCAUAGCUGUUGGGACCCGAAAGAUGGUGAACUAUGCGUGAAUAGGGUGAAGCCAGAGGAAACUCUGGUGGAGGCUCGCAGCGGUUCUGACGUGCAAAUCGAUCGUCAAAUUUGCGUAUAGGGGCGAAAGACUAAUCGAACCAUU
rnacentral:rRNA from 1 species